AUACGUAGGGGGCAAGCGUUAUCCGGAAUUAUUGGGCGUAAAGGGCGCGUAGGCGGCUUUGCAAGUCAGUAGUGGAAGUCCAUUUUUCAAGGAUGGAAGUGCUACAGAAACUGCGGAGCUUGAGUGCAGGAGAGGUUAUCGGAAUUCCCGGUGUAGCGGUGAAAUGCGUAGAGAUCGGGAGGAACACCAGUGGCGAAGGCGGGUAACUGGACUGCAACUGACGCUGAGGCGCGAAAGUGUGGGGAGCAAACAGGAUUAGAUACCCUGGUAGUCCACACUGUAAACGAUGAAUGCUAGGUGUAGGAGGUAUCGACCCCUUCUGUGCCGCAGUAAACACAGUAAGCAUUCCGCCUGGGGAGUACGGUCGCAAGAUUAAAACUCAAAUGAAUCGGCGGGG
rnacentral:rRNA from 1 species